rnacentral:rRNA from 1 species
UACGUAGGGUGCUAGCGUUGUUCGGAAUUACUGGGCGUAAAGCGCGCGCAGGCGGUCUUCCAAGUCAGUGGUGAAAGCCCGGAGCUCAACUCCGGAACUGCCAUUGAAACUGUUAGACUUGAGGAUGAGAGAGGUGAGUGGAAUUCCCAGUGUAGAGGUGAAAUUCGUAGAUAUUGGGAAGAACACCGGUGGCGAAGGCGGCUCACUGGCUCAUUACUGACGCUCAGGCGCGAUAGCGUGGGGAUCAAACAGG